AACGAACGCUGGCGGCAGGCUUAACACAUGCAAGUCGAACGCAUCCUUCGGGGUGAGUGGCAGACGGGUGAGUAACGCGUGGGAACGUGCCCUUCAGUUCGGGAUAACCCAGGGAAACUUGGGCUAAUACCGGAUACGUGCGAGAGCAGAAAGAUUUAUCGCUGAAGGAUCGGCCCGCGUUCUGAUUAGCUAGUUGGUGGGGUAAUGGCCCACCAAGGCGACGAUCAGUAGCUGGUUUGAGAGGAUGAUCAGCCACAUUGGGACUGAGACACGGCCCGAACUCCACCGGGGGCCAGCAGUGGGAAAUAUUGAACAAGGGGGGAAAGCCUGUUCCAGCCAUGCCGCGGGAGGGAUGAAGGCCUUAGGGUUGUAAGCUCUUUCGUCCGGGACGAUAAUGACGGUACCGGAAGAAGAAGCCCCGGCUAACUUCGUGCCAGCAGCCGCCGUAACAC
rnacentral:rRNA from 1 species